UUUUAUGGAGAGUUUGAUCCUGGCUCAGGAUGAACGCUGGCGGCGUGCCUAAUACAUGCAAGUCGAGCGAACAGACGAGGAGCUUGCUCCUCUGAUGUUAGCGGCGGACGGGUGAGUAA
rnacentral:rRNA from 1 species